GGCAAGAUGGCCGAGCGGUCUAAGGCGCUAGCUUCAGGUGCUAGUAGAGAAAUCUGCGUGGGUGUAAGUUUCAAUCAACUACUUUGGCUGUUCAACAGCAUUCUAACAUUAUCACAGUCGAAUCCCACUCUUGUCA
rnacentral:tRNA from 3 species